rnacentral:rRNA from 1 species
GAUGAACGCUGGCGGCGUGCCUAAUACAUGCAAGUCGAGCGAACAGACGAGGAGCUUGCUCCUCUGACGUUAGCGGCGGACGGGUGAGUAACACGUGGAUAACCUACCUAUAAGACUGGGAUAACUUCGGGAAACCGGAGCUAAUACCGGAUAAUAUAUUGAACCGCAUGGUUCAAUAGUGAAAGACGGUUUUGCUGUCACUUAUAGAUGGAUCCGCGUCGCAUUAGCGAGUUGGUAAGGUAACGGCUGACCAAGGCAACGGUGCGUAGCCGACCUGAGAGGGUGAUGGGCCACACUGGAACGGGGACACGGUCCAGACUCCUAGGGGAGGCAGCAGUAGGGAAUCAUCCGCAAGGGGCGAAAGCCUGACGGAGCAACGCCGCGUGAGUGAUGAAGGUCUUCGGAUCGUAAAACUCUGUUAUUAGGGAAGAACAAAUGUGUAAGUAACUAUGCACGUCUUGACGGUACCUAAUCAGAAAGCCACGGCUAACUACGUG